rnacentral:rRNA from 1 species
AAGUCGUAACAAGGUUGACAGUGAGCCUUCCCAGGCCCGCGGAAGCCUUUGCACGCCGCCCCUGGCGGUGGGCCCAGCGACUCUAAAGCAAAUGGGCCGGUGCAAGUUGGCCUCUGCCAGCAACACUUUCGAAUGCGGGGAAUCCCUAAUGCGAAGCCCUACCAACCGGUGGGGGAGACCCCCCUGGGGCCUGCGCGCAGCGGCGCAGGGUGCGGUGAGAACGGGCUUCGAUACGUGGGCCAUCCGCAGCCAAGUCCCCAGCCAUCUGCUGUGGGAUGGGCUCACAGGCUAAGCGGAAGUGGGUGGGGUACGUCCCCGCUUAAGAUAUAGUCGGGCUCCUGAAGGAGACUUUGGGAGGGCCAGCCGUUCCGUAGGUGAACCUGCGGAAGGAUCAUUACAGUGAGGGGCCUGCGGGCCCGCUCUCAAACCCAGUGCCAACCAUCCCGUUGCUUCGGCGGGCCGUCAGGCUCAGGCUCGCCACCGGUCUCGGCCGGUGAGUGCCCGUCCGAGGACCACCAAACCAGUGCCACGCGCAGUCAGNAGUAUGAUACAAAUGAAACAAAACUUUCAACAACGGAUCUCUUGGUUCCGGCAUCGAUGAAGAACGCAGCGAAACGCGAUAGGNAAUGCGAAUUGCAGAAUUCAGUGAGUCAUCGAGUCUUUGAACGCACAUUGCGCCNUUGGUAUUCCGAGGGGCACGCCUGUUCGAGCGUCAUUUCUCCCCUCAAGCCCGGCUUGGUGUUGAGCCUCGCCCAUCACAGGCGGGNNCAAAGCGGUUGGCGGCACUACGGCCCCAGAGCACGACGCAUUCGUGGAUCUUGGGGGCAUACUGCCCGCCUACACAAACCCUUCUAAGGUUGACCUCGGAUCAGGCGGGGAUACCCGCUGAACUUAAGCAUAUCAAUAAGCGGAGGAAAAGAAACCAACGGGGAUUGCCCUAGUAACGGCGAGUGAAGCGGCAUCAGCCCAAAUUUGAAAUCUGGCGGCCCUUGGCAGCCCGAGUUGUAAUUUGGAGAGGGUGCUUCGCGAACGGCCCCGCCCCAAGUUCCUUGGAACCGGACGCUACAGAGGGUGAGAGCCCCGUACCCGGGCGGAGGCCCGCCGCGUGUGAAGCCCCUUCGACGAGUCGAGUUGUUUGGGAAUGCAGCUCUAAUCGGGAGGUAAAUUCCUUCUAAGGCUAAAUACCGGCCGGAGACCGAUAGCGCACAAGUAGAGUGAUCGAAAGAUGAAAAGCACUUUGAAAAGAGAGUCAACCAGCACGUGAAAUUGUUGAAAGGGAAGCGCUCGCGACCAGACUCGGCCGUUUUGGAUCAGCCCUUGCAUGCAGCGGCGUACUCCACUGCGGCCGGGCCAGCGAGGGUUCGGGCGGCCGGACAAAGGCGGCGGGAACGUGGCUCCCUCCGGGGAGUGUUAUAGCCCGCUGCGGAAUGCGGCCAGCCCGGACCGAGGACCGCGCUUUGGCUAGGACGCUGGCGUAAUGGUCGUGAGCGGCC